AUUGAACGCUGGCGGCAGGCCUAACACAUGCAAGUCGAGCGGAGCGGCGGCCGGGUGAGUAAUGACUAGGUAUCUGCCUGGUAGUGGGGGAUAACGUCAGGAACUGGGAGCUAAUACCGAUUACUAUUAGAUGAACCUAGGUGGGAUUAGCUAGUUGGUGGGGUAAAGGCCUACCAAGGCGACGAUCCCUAGCUGGUCUGAGAGGAUGAACAGCCACACUGGAACUGAGACACGGUCCAGACUCCUACGGGAGGCAGCAGUGGGGAAUAUUGCACAAUGGGCGCAAGCCUGAUGCAGCCAUGCCGCGUGUGUGAAGAAGGUCUUCGGGUUGUAAAGCACUUUAAGUUGGGAGGCGUUACCAGCAGAAUAAGCACCGGCUAACUUCGUGCCAGCAGCCGCGGUAAUUC
rnacentral:rRNA from 1 species